AAGAAGAUAUUCUGCAAAAUACUUCAUAAUUGCGGGAAAGGAGGCUACAUCUAUUACCAUAAUUUGGUUCAUUUACUUGCUCUUGAAACAUCCUGAGAUUCAAGAUAAGGUUGAAUAAGAAAUCGAAGAAGCAACAAACAUGAGAAACAAAUUAAGUCACAGGUGUUAAAGAUUUUGCAAACAGUGCGAGUGAAGAAAGCCUAGAAAUGAUAAGUAGCUUCAUGUAACUUGGAACAAAACUCUCGCGACUCUAUCCUGCAUCUCAGUGGCUGUUAAUUUCAAGGAACCCUUGGGCUAACUUACGUAAGUCUUAUUGGAACUUAUAAUUGAUGAAGAAUCAAUGGAGAUUAAGGGAAUUAGCCUAUGAUGUCAAUUAUCAAGUUACCAUCUGAUGAAGAUUAAGGGAACUUACCACAGAAGCGAGUUACUUCUAGUGAAGAUUGAUGAAGUCUCGCUAAUAAAGAAGAGAUGCCACGUGUUAGCCUAUCAUUUGACGAAGACAAUCUGUUGAGAGGAUGUUAUACAUAAUUGUCACUUGUCAAUUCCGUACGUCUCAACAAGAAUAUAGAUACACGAGUCUGCAUUGAUAUUAUUAUCACUUGACCCCAUAGUUUAAUGUGUGCAAAUUCAGAGAAAAUUUGCAUGUCACCCUCUUCAUAGCUAGAGCAUUAGCUAGAAAACCAUCUAUAAAUUCAAUUUUGAUUUAUAACUAGUUUUACAUGAUGUAUUGAAACAAUUGAUUUUGAUGAAUACCUUGUGCUUAUAGCAAUUGUUCUUCUA